GGACGGGUGAGUAACGCGUGGGUAACCUGCCUUGUACUGGGGGACAACAGUUGGAAACGACUGCUAAUACCGCAUAAGCGCACAGCUUCGCAUGAAGCAGUGUGAAAAACUCCGGUGGUACAAGAUGGACCCGCGUCUGAUUAGCUGGUUGGUGAGGUAACGGCCCACCAAGGCGACGAUCAGUAGCCGGCCUGAGAGGGUGAACGGCCACAUUGGGACUGAGACACGGCCCAAACUCCUACGGGAGGCAGCAGUGGGGAAUAUUGCACAAUGGGGGAAACCCUGAUGCAGCAACGCCGCGUGAGUGAAGAAGUAUUUCGGUAUGUAAAGCUCUAUCAGCAGGAAAGAAAAUGACGGUACCUGACUAAGAAGCCCCGGCUAACUACGUGCCAGCAGCCGCGGUAAUACGUAGGGGGCAAGCGUUAUCCGGAUUUACUGGGUGUAAAGGGAGCGUAGACGGUUU
rnacentral:rRNA from 1 species